CAAUACAGAGAAAUUUGGCAUGACUCCUACGCAUAGAUGACACACAGAUUUGUGAAGCAUUUUAUAUGUUU
rnacentral:snRNA from 1 species